GAUGAACGCUGGCGGCGUGCCUAAUACAUGCAAGUCGAGCGAACGGACGAGAAGCUUGCUUCUCUGAUGUUAGCGGCGGACGGGUGAGUAACACGUGGAUAACCUACCUAUAAGACUGGGAUAACUUCGGGAAACCGGAGCUAAUACCGGAUAAUAUUUUGAACCGCAUGGUUCAAAAGUGAAAGACGGUCUUGCUGUCACUUAUAGAUGGAUCCGCGCUGCAUUAGCUAGUUGGUAAGGUAACGGCUUACCAAGGCAACGAUGCAUAGCCGACCUGAGAGGGUGAUCGGCCACACUGGAACUGAGACACGGUCCAGACUCCUACGGGAGGCAGCAGUAGGGAAUCCUCCGCAAUGGGCGAAAGCCUGACGGAGCAACGCCGCGUGAGUGAUGAAGGUCUUCGGAUCGUAAAACUCUGUUAUUAGGGAAGAACAUAUGUGUAAGUAACUGUGCACAUCUUGACGGUACCUAAUCAGAAAGCCACGGCUAACUACGUGCCAGCAGCCGCGGUAAUACGUAGGUGGCAAGCGUUAUCCGGAAUUAUUGGGCGUAAAGCGCGCGUAGGCGGUUUUUUAAGUCUGAUGUGAAAGCCCACGGCUCAACCGUGGAGGGUCAUUGGAAACUGGAAAACUUGAGUGCAGAAGAGGAAAGUGGAACUCCAUGUGUAGCGGUGAAAUGCGCAGAGAUAUGGAGGAACACCAGUGGCGAAGGCGACUUUCUGGUCUGUAACUGACGCUGAUGUGCGAAAGCGUGGGGAUCAAACAGGAUUAGAUACCCUGGUAGUCCACGCCGUAAACGAUGAGUGCUAAGUGUUAGGGGGUUUCCGCCCCUUAGUGCUGCAGCUAACGCAUUAAGCACUCCGCCUGGGGAGUACGACCGCAAGGUUGAAACUCAAAGGAAUUGACGGGGACCCGCACAAGCGGUGGAGCAUGUGGUUUAAUUCGAAGCAACGCGAAGAACCUUACCAAAUCUUGACAUCCUUUGACAACUCUAGAGAUAGAGCCUUCUCCUUCGGGGGACAAAGUGACAGGUGGUGCAUGGUUGUCGUCAGCUCGUGUCGUGAGAUGUUGGGUUAAGUCCCGCAACGAGCGCAACCCUUAAGCUUAGUUGCCAUCAUUAAGUUGGGCACUCUAAGUUGACUGCCGGUGACAAACCGGAGGAAGGUGGGGAUGACGUCAAAUCAUCAUGCCCCUUAUGAUUUGGGCUACACACGUGCUACAAUGGACAAUACAAAGGGCAGCGAAACCGCGAGGUCAAGCAAAUCCCAUAAAGUUGUUCUCAGUUCGGAUUGUAGUCUGCAACUCGACUACAUGAAGCUGGAAUCGCUAGUAAUCGUAGAUCAGCAUGCUACGGUGAAUACGUUCCCGGGUCU
rnacentral:rRNA from 1 species